rnacentral:rRNA from 1 species
UACGGGGGGAGCAAGCGUUGUUCGGAUUUACUGGGCGUAAAGGGCGCGUAGGCGGUCGUGACAAGUCACUUGUGAAAUCUCCGGGCUUAACUCGGAAAGGUCAAGUGAUACUGUCGGACUAGAGUACAGAAGGGGCAACUGGAAUUCUCGGUGGUAGCGGUGAAAUGCGUAGAUAUUACAAGGAACACCAAUGGCGAAGGCAGCUUGCUGGGCUUCUUACUGACACUGGAGGUACGAAAGCGUGGGGAGCGAACAGG